rnacentral:ncRNA from 1 species
AGUCCCGGUGCGCGCAAGGGUCGCCGCCCGGUCGAGGAGAGAUGCGCGCCGCACCUGCCCCGUUCGCGGGGCCGGGGAAGCCGUUCGAGCAGCGUCGUGUCGCGGUCCGGGACUGUCCUCAGUCCCGGGUCGUCUCGGCGCGGUUCCGAGCGGUCGCUCCCUCGCGAGGUGCCGCGGGUCAGCGGCUGACGCCAGCCACCUUCCCGACCCGUCUUGAAACACGGACCAAGGAGUCUAACAUGUGCGCGAGCCGCUGGGCAGUACGAAACCCGUAAGGCGAAAUGAAGGUGAACGCCGGCGCGGUCCGGCGGAGGUUGGAUCCCGUCCCGUCGGGGCGGGCGCACUACCGGCCGAUCUUCUCCGCCCUGUCGGCGAGGUCGAGCGAGAGCGUGCAAGUCGGGACCCGAAAGAUGGUGAACUAUGCCUGAGGAGGUUGAAGCCAGAGGAAACUCUGGUGGAGGACCGUAGCGAUUCUGACGUGCAAAUCGAUCGUCAAAUUUGGGUAUAGGGGCGAAAGACUAAUCGAACCGUCUAGUAGCUGGUUCCCUUCGAAGUUUCCCUCAGGAUAGCUGGCGCUCUGUCGCAGUUUUAUCUGGUAAAGCGAAUGAUUAGAGGUCUUGGGGGCGAAACGCCCUCAACCUAUUCUCAAACUUUAAAUUGGUAAGAAGCCCGACUCGCUCGUUUGGAGCCGGGCAUGGAAUGCGAGUGCCAAGGGGGCCACUCUUGGUAAG